UCUACAGUUAUGUGUUUCCUGCUGCUACAACUUCGGUCCAGUCCUUCCUAUGGUAAAACUGGUCAGGCAAUGAGAAGACAGCCAUGGACACGACCUGCCUACCCUGUGGUGAUAAGGUCACAGUAGAGACCUCUCCCUAGCUGUCCCUUGUUGAAGGGGUGUUGAGGGUUCUAAAUCUCUCCUUAGAGGGGUCCAGUCAGCUCAGAGACCUAGUGCCUUUUCUAAUACUACAUUGGAGGAAAAUACUGGGCAAUUAUCACCCUUGCCAGCAAUUAGGGGUUUGAGUGCCCUGAACUUUAAAGCUAGGCUCUCCAUCUUUUCUGUGGCAGGUGCCAACAUGGACACACAUGACAAGCUGGACUCAAAAAGUGUGGAACAAAUGACCAAAAGUACCCUUCAAUCCCAACUGCGAGUAUAAGUUCCACCAGAAGAGAGUUUUGCCUUAAAAUAUCCUGCACACAUGUAUAAAUGUAUAGUGACUAUUCCUACUCUGUCCUAGGCUGCUUUCCCCACCCACGCUGAGUGUUUUAUUCCUUGACUUCAUGCAGACUUUAAUUUUUUUUAAUUUUUUAAUUUUUAUUUUUUUGCUUUUUAGGGCCACACCUGUGGCAUAUGGAGGUUCCCAGGCUAGGGGUCGAAUCAGAGCUACAGCUACUGGCCUACACCACAGCCACAGGAAUGCAGGAUUCUUAACCCACUGAGAGAGGUCAGGGAUCUAACCCAUGUCCUCCUGGAUACUAGUCGGGUUUGCUUCCACUGAGCCACAACUGGAACCCCUACUUUUUUUUUUAAACAGAACUCUUUUCCCUCUUCCUCCCAUCUUUUUUUUCCCCCUGUCUUUUAAGUCUUACUUAAGUCUUUCAGAGUUCUGGGAAGUAUAAUAACUUCCACAGCAGGGAAUGUGUAGCAGGUAUUACCACUGACAGACUUAAGGGCACAUCUACUUUCCCACCCCGUGGAGGGGUGGCCAUAGGACACAAUUUGCCCAAUGAAAUGUGGUAUAUCUCUUCUGGGUAGAAGAAGUUAAGUACCCACAGCUGACUUACCACCGCUCUGGUUCCCGUACAACCUCAGUAUUAGUGGAAACAAGUGUUGAUGUGGAGAUAUAAUGUCACAUAAAAGAGAGCUACUCUGGAAGAUCAUCCCAGAGUAGAUUUUACAUGAUGAAAAACAAACUUUUGAGGAGUUCCUGUGUGGCUCAGCUGUAAUGAGCCUGACUAGUAUCCAUGAGGACAAGGGUUCAAUCCCUGGCCUCAUUCAGUGGAUUAAGGAUAUGGCGUUGCCGUGAGCUGGGGUGGAGGUCACAGACUUGGCUUGGAUCCCGCAUUGCUGUGGCUGUGGUGUGGGCCAGCAGCUGUAGCUCCAAUUCAGCCCCUAGCCUGGGAACUUCCAUGUGCGGUGGGUUCUAAAAAGGUAAACAAACAAACAAAAAAACUAAAGUUUUCUUGUUUCAAGACCCUGAGCUUUUAGAGAUCUUUGUUACUAUAGCAUAACAUAGCAUAGCAUAUCCUGCCUACUACUACACAGUAUUAGACUCCAAAUAGUCUAGUUAGGUAUCAGUGACUCAAUGUCUUACUUCCUAUGGCUACCUUUGUCUCUACCUGGAAUUUUCCAUGCCUAUUCUUUCAUUUCCUAGAGCACCACAAACCUUUUGUAUCAGUCACACCUGACAAAUGAGAGUUCACUCACUCAAUACAUGAACACCUUAUCUGUUGCUCAUACAAUGUGCAGUGUACAUUGGAUCAUCACUCUAAAUCUUACAGCUGUACCACCUGUAACUCUUGACCUUCAAGAUGACACUGGAAGAAGAGAAUGUUGGAGGAAAAGCAUCCAUCUUAACUGCCUCACUCCAGGAAUUUACACAUUAUGUCCACCCAUCCCACUGGCCAGAAAUAGUCCCGACAUACAUGCAAAGAAGGCUGGGAGUGCUGAGGAGCACGUGGGCUAUCUGGUGGAAACCAGCUGUCUCUAGGUCACCUAUUAUCUAUCCUUGGCUGACCCCCUACAAAGCUGGAAACAAAAAGAAUAUUAAAAUCUUUCUUGCGAUGCUCAGCCAGCUCCAUCUCAGGAAUUUCUUCACUUUCCCUGGACCCCAUCUGCUACCAUCUCUCAUAAGAAUCCUCCUCUCCUUCUCCUUCUAGAUGAAGGUCAAUGGAUGAUUAGUCUCCAUCCAAGGCUAGACUCCGGACAUCAAUUCUGUCAUUUCAAAGAAGAGAUGAACUCAUGCUCUUGCCUAAGCAGAACCAUCUGCCUGCCAGUCUUCACCCUUAGAUCAGUGAUCUUCAGAAGCUGGAAAAUUCAUUUUUCCAAACUUGGAUGAGAUAAAAUUGUCCAGCCAAGUUCCCUCUCAUGGUUUCUAAGUCAAAAGGGAUUGACAGAGCAUUUACGUUUCCUUUGCUUGGAGCAGGAGCUGACAAACUAUGGCUGUCAGCCUGAAUGUCGUCCCUGCUGCCACCUGUUUUUGUAAAGUUUUAUGAGAACAUGGCCAUAGUCAUUCUUCUGUGUAUUAUUUAUAGCUGCAUUUGAGCUACAAUGGCAAUGGCGAAUAUUUGUUAGAGACCAGUUGUAUGGCCCUUUAAAAAAAAAUGCAUCGACCUCUGGGUUAGAACCAACACAAGGAAGGAGGUUUUCUUCUGUGUACAUCUGACUUUCUCUUGAAACUCUCCACACCCCUCCCCCUCUGUGCCCCCCCCACCGAAAAAACAGGCUCCCUUUUCAUGGUCUUUCACAGUGUAGUGGGAUUGCUGGUUUACUGGUUGUGAGGGCCAGGAAUAUUUCAGCUGCUUCUUUGGUUAAUCUCCAGGCCUUUCCCAGCAUCUUGCUUAUCAAAGAUGCCUAACACAUUUGUUGAAUGACUGAGCUUUGAAGUUAUCUCAUCAAGGUCUGGCCUAGGAAAGUAGUUGCCUUCCCUGGAUUUUUUCCAAGGAAACAGGGACAUUGGGUGAGCCACUGCAGAUGAAGCCUGUUUACAGCUUUCUGAUGGAGGCUGGAAUGGGUGACCAGGGGGCCAGAUCAGGCUUCCCUCAGCCCUUGGAUGGGGCCUGACGGGCCUGAGCCUCUAAAAUGCCCUGGCCAGUGGCCUCACCAUUUUUUUUUUUGGCUCUUUAGGGCCACACCCGCCACAACAUAUGGAAGUUCCCAGGCUAGGGGUGGAGUCAGAGCUGCAGCUGCUGGUCUACACCACAGCCACAGCCACAGCCACGUCAGAUCCGAGCUGCGCCUAUGACCUACACCACAGCUCAUGGCAACACUAGAUCCUUAACCCCCUGAGUAAGGCCAGGGAUUGAACCUGAGUCCUCAAGGAUGCUAGCUGGGUUCAUUACCACUGAGCCACAAUGGGAACUCUCCUGCAAAGCCAUUCUAAGCUGAAAGCUCCUUUGACAGAUGAGGCAGCUCUGGGCUUGUGAAAACCAAAGAGUUGGACACCCAGGGCUGGGAAGACGGGGAGAAAAAGGAGCAUAAACUAGAAGAUGCAGCCCAUCCCACCUCACCAUUGAACUUGGCUGCUCAAGAAGCUUCCAGAGUAAUUCACUGAGCCAGGCACGUCCAUGAGCCCUGCCGGAUGCUCCAAAUGUCAAGGCUGUAAUUACUUCUCUCCUCCAAGGACCCUGACAUUUACAGAGACCAGCUCCCCGAGCUUACCUCCAACAGCCCAGACAGCCCCCAGGAGUUCCUUUACUUGUUCAAAUGUGCAUCUUCUGAGCACAAACAUGUAUCACAUUUAUCAAAACAUCUCGCUUGUCACCAGGGAAUAAGGAUGCCCUGCCUUCCUUGAGGAAGCUUAUAGUCUUACACUGAAGUCUGCAACAUGGUCUAGCUUCCUGGUGCUGGAUGAUUUGGUCACCCCUGGCUAAGUCCACACAGCUUUACUGUAGCACCCCCACCCCGUGGACUGCACGAGGGCAUGGAAUGCUGCUAAAGACUCACCGUGUGACCCUGAUCACAUAUAUCUGCUCCAUAUGCCUUUCUAGGGGCAAAUGGUAAAGUCCUUGUCAUUCUGCACAAUCUGUCCUCAGGUCCCGAGAGGUAUACCCUUAGCAAAGCUGAACUUUCCCCUCCCUCACUCUGCACAGAAAAUCUUGCUCCGAAGUUUUUUUCUUUUUAAUUUUUCUUUUUUUCUUUUUUUAUUUAAUUUUUAAAUUUUUCUUCUCUUUGUCUUUUUUUUCUUUUUUUUUUGUUUAUUGUUUUUUAGGGCUGCACCUGUGGCACAUGGAAGUUCCCAGGCUUGGGGUCCAAUCGGAGCUGCAGCUGCCAGCCUACAUACAGCCACAGCAACACAGGAUCUGAGCUACGUCUGUGACCUAUACCACAGCUCACGGCAACACCGGAUCCUUAACCCACUGAGUAAGGCCAGGGAUCGAACCCACAUCCUCAUGGAUACUAGUCAGAUUCUUAACCCAGUGAGCCACAGUGGAAACUCCCUGAGAGGAAUUUAAAAAGCUCCCCCCAAACCUACAAAAACCAAAGUCACAGGAUCCUGAUUAUCCAGGUGGGGAAAUCAGAGGUCUUGAAGGACUCUAAGCUUAUGGGAUCUUAUGACACCCAGCAUCCUCCAUGUUCCUUCACUGUGUCCCCUUCCUUUCCACACUGCCACCUGAAGUGCCAUUUCCUAUUAGAAGUCCCCAGAUGCCAAGUAUGGAAGGUGGAGGGGCACGUCCCAGUACCUGUGAAAGGAAGAAAACAGAAAAGCAAGGAAUUGAUUGAUAUACCUGGUGUCAUCAGAUAUCACUUAAUACACUGGCACCAAAUCAUUUGUAAGUGAUGAUGGCUUGUAAAGGACUGGACACCAUUGUUAAGGGGACAAUUGAGUUUCCCUCGUGAAGGUCACUUGAUUCUCCUCCACUCCGUCUCAUCGGCUCAGUCAUUGCUGUGUCACCGAACCCCAUGCCAGCAGUUAUACACACAGAGAGAAGGAGCUUGCAAGAGAAGCCUGACACACCAUCUAGGAGACCACCAGCUUCUCCUC
rnacentral:lncRNA from 1 species